rnacentral:tRNA from 1 species
AGCAGCGUGGUCUAGUGGAGAGAGCAGGGGACUGGGAAUCCUAAGGAUCUGGGUUCUAAUCCUGACUCUGCCA